rnacentral:rRNA from 1 species
GAUGAACGCUGGCGGCGUGCCUAAUACAUGCAAGUCGAGCGAACGGACGAGAAGUUUGCUUCUCUGAUGUUAGCGGCGCACGGGUGUGUCACACGUGUAUAACCUCCUUAUAAGACUGGGAUAACUUCGGGAAACCGGAUCUAAUACCGGAUAAUAUUUUGAUCCGCAUGGUUCAAAAGUGAAAGACGGUCUUUCUGGCUCGUAUAGAUGCAUCCCCGCUUCAUUAGCUGGUUGGUAGCGUAACGGCUUAUCAAGGCAACGAUGCAUAGCCGACCUAAGAGGGUGAUCGGCCACUCUGGAGCUGAGCGGCGGUCCAGGGUCCGACGGGAGGCAGCGGUAGGGACUCUACCGCGAUGGGCGAAAGCCUGCAGGAGCAGCGCCGCGUGAGUGAUGAAGGGCUGCGGGUCGUAAAACGCUGUUAUUAGGGAAGAACAUAUGUGUCUGUAACGGUGCGCGUCUUGCCGGUACCGAAUCAGAAAGCCCCGGCUACCUCCGU